AAACUAUGGUAGAAGGUGGUGGUGGUUGCCGCAAAUCUGCUCUAUUCAUCACUAAGUCAUCAUUUAUAAUCGAAGAUACGGAGACACGUGGCAAAACACAAAAACUGUAAGCAGGAAAUGUUGGGAAGUUUUGGAGACCCAUCGAAGAACCUUUUUCUUAUUUGCACAACUGAAGGAAUCAAGUGGGAUAAAGGCGCCUCUUUUGUAAUUAAUAUUAAACAAUAUGCAGCCAGUAAACAAUGCUAGUCUUUUGCAACAACUCAGGUUUUACAUCCUGUUUAUUCUAGGUGUAUAUUAUAAGGUGCAGUGGUUAUAAAGAGGGCGAAAACAGUGAUGCUUCUGAUGCUUGAGUUUAAGCGCAAAUUGAUCGAAUUAUUAAGAUAUUUAUUAGGAAAGGGGAUUAUUGUAGAUAUAUGGCAGAAUUUAAGUCUGGUAAUGACAAGAAAGAGGUUGCAGAUCUUUCAAUGAAAGCGUAUGAGGGCAUGUCACCUAGCCAAACAGGCAUUUGAUGAAGAGAUUUCCGAGCUUGAUACUAUGAAUGAGGAGUCAUACAAAGACAGUACAUUACUUAUGCAACUGCUAAGGGAUAAUCUCACCUUGUAGCCUCUGAUAUUUCCGAGGAAGGAGAUGAUUCACACAAGCAAGAUGGAGCUACUAAAACUGGUGGCGAGAUCGAGAAUGCAGAGGUAGUGAACGUGUAAUUAUGUAUUAAUCAUAAGUAGUUUUUAAUACAAGUAAUUUUCUCGAGCCAGGGAAGCAAUCCCGGGUGAUAACCUAGUUAUAUUAAUAAAUGACGAUUAUGCCCUUUUCACACAUAAAUUGGGUUUUAAAUAAGAAUAACAUGCAAGAACCUUUUGGUACUG
rnacentral:lncRNA from 1 species